rnacentral:lncRNA from 1 species
CCUACAAUCCCAUUAAUCCCAUUUAUCCCCUAAUCCCACAAUCCCUUAAUCCCACAAUCCCAUAAUCCCACAAUCCCACGAUCCCAUUCAUCCCAUUCAUCCCUUAAUCCCAUUAAUCCCAUUAAUCCCUUAAUCCCAUUCAUCCCAUUCAUCCCUUAAUCCCAUUAAUCCCAUUAAUCCCUUAAUCCCAUUAAUCCCAUUAAUCCCAUUAAUCCCAUUAAUCCCUUAAUCCCUUAAUCCCAUUCAUCCCAUUCAUCCCAUUCAUCCCAUUAAUCAAAUUAAUCCCAUUAAUCCCAAAAUCCCACGAUCCCAUCAAUUCCCCCAUAGGGUCCUCGGGGUCAGCGCGGUCCGCGCGGCGCCACCGGCAAAUCAGGAGCCAAGGGGACGUCGGGCAGCGAUGGACCGCAUGGACCCCCGGGAGAGAGGGGCGUACCUGGAGCUGCCGGCCCCAAUGGAUUCCCCGGCCCCAAAGGACCCCCGGUGAGCCCCAAAUGACCCCAAAAUGGCCCCAAAAUGGCCCCAAAUGGCCCUAAAUGACCCCAAAUGGCCCCAAAUGACCCCAAAUUGCUUCGU